rfam:Poecilia formosa, whole genome shotgun sequence.
GUAGGCUACGGAGACAUGGUGCCGACCACUAUCGGAGGAAAAAUUGUGGGCUCUCUCUGUGCAAUCGCUGGUGUGCUGACUAUUGCCUUGCCCGUGCCUGUCAUUGUAUCAAAU